UACGUAGGGUGCAAGCGUUGUCCGGAAUUACUGGGCGUAAAGGGCUCGUAGGUGGCCAACUAAGUCAUACGUGAAAUCCCUCGGCUUAACCGGGGAACUGCGUCUGAUACUGGAUGGCUUGAGGUUGGGAGAGGGAUGCGGAAUUCCAGGUGUAGCGGUGAAAUGCGUAGAUAUCGGAAGGAACGCCGGUGGCGAAAGCGGCGCACUGGAUCUCUUCUGACGCUGAGGCGCGAAAGCCAGGGGAGCAAACGGG
rnacentral:rRNA from 1 species